GAUGAACGCUGGCGGCGUGCUUAACACAUGCAAGUCGAGCGGAAGGACGCGACGCUUGCUUCUCUCUUGUUUGCGGCGCACGGGUGAGUAACACGUGUAUAACCUACCUAUCUUUCUGGUAUCUCUUCGGGACACCGGCUCUAACACCGUAUAAUCUUCUGCACCGCAUUGUUCAAAAGUAAAAGUCGGCGUUUCUGUCUCUUCUAGCUGCUUCUCGGCUGCAUUGGCUAGUUGUGAAGGUAACGGCUUUUCAAGGCUACUAUGCAUAGGCGAACUGAGGGGGUGGUAGGCCACAUUGGAGCUGGAACAGGGACCAGACUCCUACGGGAGGCAGCAGUAGGGAAUCGUCCGCAAUGGGCGGAAGCCUGACGGAGCAACGCGGCGUGAGUGAUGAAGGUCUUCGGAUCGUGAAGCUCUGUUAUUAGGGAAGAACAGAUGUGUAAGUAACUGUGGAGAUCUUGACGGUACCGAAUCAGAAAGCCACGGCUAACUACGUG
rnacentral:rRNA from 1 species